rnacentral:rRNA from 1 species
UACGUAGGGUGCGAGCGUUGUCCGGAAUUAUUGGGCGUAAAGAGCUUGUAGGCGGUUUGUCGCGUCUGCCGUGAAAAUCCGGGGCUCAACCCCGGACUUGCGGUGGGUACGGGCAGACUAGAGUGUGGUAGGGGAGACUGGAAUUCCUGGCGUAGCGGUGAAAUGCGCAGAUAUCAGGAGGAACACCGAUGGCGAAGGCAGGUCUCUGGGCCACUACUGACGCUGAGAAGCGAAAGCGUGGGGAGCGAACAGG